AUUGGUUGAUCUUGCCAUUAGUCAUAUGCUUGUCUCAAUGAUUAAGCCAUGCAUGUCUAUGUAUGAACUAAUUUAAACUGUAAAAUUGUGGAUGGAUCAUUAAAUCGAUCAUAGUUUCUUUGAUUGUACCUUACUACUCGGAUAACCACACUAAUUCUAGAUCUAAUAUGUGCACCAAGUCCAUACUCUUUGAAAGGGAUACAUUCAUUAGAUAAAAGGUCGGCACGAGAUUUCCUUCUUCUUUGUUGUAUCAUGAUAACUCGACGAAUUGCACAACCCUUAUGCUGGUGAUGUUUCAUUCAAAUUUAUUCACUAUAAACUUUUGAUGGUAGGAUAGAGGCCUAUCAUGGUGGUGAGGAGUGAAGGAGAUUUAGGGUUCGAUUUUGGAGAGGGUGCCUUAAAAAUGACUAACACAUCCAAGGAAGGCAACAAGCAUGCAAAUUACCCAAUCCUAACAUUGGGAGAUAGUGACAAUAAAUACAAAUAUUGGGCUCAUAGAUUCUGGUAAUUGGAAUGAGUACAAUAUAAAUCCCUUAAUGAGGAUCCAUUGGAAGGCAAGUCUGGUGCCAUCAGUCACAGUAAUUCCAUUUCCAAUAGAAUAUAUUUAAGUUUUUGCAGUUAAAAAACUCAUAGUUGUAUAUUGGGUCAUAAAGUUCAGUCUUCCUACUCAGUGCGCACCUGCCCUUCUAUCCAUUUUAUCGAAGAAGUGCUCCUGGCAUUAACUAGUUGGGUCAUGGUUUUGGCACUAUUACUUUGAAAAAAUUAGACUGCUCAAAGAAAGCUUAUGCUCUAAAUACAUUAGCAUGGAAUAGCGUGAUAGAAGUUUUUUCAUAUUGUGUUGGCCUUUAGGACCAGAGUAAUGAUUAAUAGGGACUGUCAGGGGCAUUCACAUUUCAAUGUCAGAGGUGAAAUUCUUGGAUUUAUGAAAGACGAACCACUGCGAAAGCAUUUUCCAACCAUGUUGUCAUUAAUCAAGAACAAAAUUUGGGAGCUCAAAGACAAUCAAAUACCAUCCUAGUAUCAACCAUAAACGAUGUCGACCAAGCAUCAAUGAAUGUUUCUCUAAGGAAUCUACCAACACCUUAUGAGAAAUACGAGUGUUUGGGUUCUGGGGGAGUAUGGUCAUAAGGCUGAAACUUAAAGGAAACAACGAAAGGGCACCAACAAGAGUGGAGCCUAUAGCUUAUUUGAGCUCUUUCUAGAUUCUAUGGAUGGUGGUGCAUGGACUUUAUUAGUUGGUGGAGCGAUUUAUCUGGUUGAUUCCGAUAUCAAACGAGAGCUCGGCCUGCUAACUAGCUAUGCAAUGGUUCCCCUUUGCAACCAGCUUCUUAGAGGAACUAUGGUUGUUUAUGUAAUUUUUAAACCUGUGAAGUAAAGAAAUGCAUAUAGAUUCUUAAGAAAAACAAAUUUUAAUCAAUGGCUCAUACACAAAGUACACAGAGAUUUUAUACCAGAAACCCUCAACCGGGAAAACCUUUCUUAUAUUCAUUACGUCGAAUUUCACCAUUCACCAUACAAUAUAUAUAUACAAUGUUUUUAGGUAUUCCGUAGAUACCAAAACCCUAAUCCCUUAAUACAGGAUUAAUUUACAAAAUCCGCUAAAAAUAGCAAAAACCGCCCAAAAAAAAAAUGGGCGCUGCCCCAAGUUACCGCUCGUUGCCAAACGAUGCAUGUAACCGGGGGGGGAGGGGCAUA
rnacentral:rRNA from 1 species